GGAGACAAAAUAGCAAUUUUGGCUCCCAGAAGCUUUGGUCAGAGUCAGACACGCUAUAAGUUGUCAAAGUAGGCUAUUAGAAAAAAAGUUCCCAAAACUGCCAGUGACCCGGCCUGUCAUUCGACCCAAUACGACCAAGCCCAAUCAGCGGCAGCGUUGCCGCCAUCACCACCACAACACCACCAAGCAGCGCCCAGUAUCCGAGGCUUGAGUCUAAAGCAACAACUAGGCCUGAGUCUAAGCCUAAUUUUAUAUAGAAUUUUUGUAAUAGUUUUAGGUACUGAAUACUACUACUACUACUACAACAACAACAACUAGGCCUGAGUCUAAAACAAGUUGGGGCCGACUGUUGGCAGCAUAUUUGUUUGCUUUUUGAAGUUGAAGCUAUAAUGAUGAGAGGAACAGCUUGUUCAAGGAGAAGUAUAUCUACAUUUUCUAGUUUAUGUCAGAGAAUUAAGCAGACAGAAAGUGAAAUUGUUAAGAUGUUUGAAAUGUCAAGGCCUAAGGCCGAAACAGAAGGGUUCCAAGAGAAGCAAGCACCCUUAAGAAGGGGCUCCGUAAGGAUAUUAGAUGAGAGGUUCAUCAGGAUUCUGAAGAUAUUUAAGUGGGGUCCUGAUGCUGAAAAGGCCCUGGAGGUGCUAAAGCUGAAAGUAGAUAAUGAAUUGGUUCGAGAGGUUCUUAAAAUAGACAUGGAGAUCAGUGUGAAACUUCAGUUUUUCAAGUGGGCUGGUAAAAGGAGGAACUUUGAACAUGACUCUACCACCUACCUGGCUUUGAUUCGAUGUCUUGAAGAAGCUGGGCUAACAGGUGAAAUGUGGAAGACGGUGCAAGAAAUGGCUCGGAGUACAUGUGUCAUAACUCCUGCCGAUCUCUCUGAGACUCUAAGAAUUUUAGGCAGGGCAAAAAUGGUAAACAAAGCACUAUCAGUAUUUUACCAGAUUAAAGGCCGCAAGUGCAAGCCAACGGCAACCACUUACAAUUCCAUUAUUUUGAUGCUGAUGCAAGAAGGUCAACAUGAAAAAGUACAUGAGCUCUAUACCGAAAUGUGUAAUGAGGGCAAUUGUUUCCCUGAUACAGUUACAUAUAGUGCUCUUAUAUCAUCCUAUGCAAAACUAGGUCGUGAUGAUUCUGCUAUUAGGUUGUUCGAUGAAAUGAAGGACAAUGGUUUAUAUCCCACUGCAAAGAUAUAUACUACCUUGUUGGCGGUUUACUUCAAAUUGGGUAGGGUGGAAACGGCUUUAGCAUUAGUCAAUGAGAUGAAAGAGAAAGGUUGUGCUCCAACUGUGUAUACUUACACUGAAUUGAUAAGAGGGCUUGGUAAAGCUGGUAGACUCGAGGAGGCAUAUUCUGUAUUUCUGUCCAUGCUAAAAGAGGGAUGUAAGCCGGAUGUUGUGUUGAUAAACAAUGUGAUAAACCUUCUAGGAAGGGGAGGACGUAUAGGUGAUGCUCUUAAACUGUUUGAUGAAAUGGAAUCAUUAAACUGUAAACCGAAUGUUGUGACAUAUAAUACUAUUAUAAAAUCCCUGUUUGAAUCCAGAGCUCCAGUAUCCGAGGCUUCAUCUUGGUUUGAAAAAAUGAAAGCAAAUGGUGUUGCUCCAAGCUCUUUUACUUAUUCAAUACUUAUUGAUGGGUAUUGCAAGAAAAAUAGAGUUGAAAAUGCUUUAGCCUUGCUUGAGGAGAUGGAUGAGAAGUGUUUUCCUCCUUGUCCAGCUGCCUAUUGCAGCUUAAUCAAUAGUCUUGGAAAAGCAAAACGCUAUGAAGCUGCAAAUGAGUUGUUUCAAGAACUAAAAGAGAGUUGUGGAUCUAGUAGUUCUCGGGUAUAUGCUGUAAUGAUAAAGCACUUUGGGAAAUGUGGGCGUUUGACUGAGGCUGUCGAUCUUUUCAACGAGAUGCAACAACUGGGAUGCUCUCCUGAUGUCUAUGCGUACAACGCAGUCAUGUCCGGGCUGGUGAGAGCAGGUAUGCUAGAUGACGCUUUUUCCAUGCUUCAUGCUAUGGAGGAAAAUGGUUGUGCUCCCGACUUAAACUCAUUUAACAUAAUACUAAAUGGUUUGGCCAAGACCAGUGAUCCACAACGGGCAAUCGAGAUGUUUACAAAGAUGAAACAUUCAACAAUUAAACCCGAUGCUGUCUCUUACAACACCAUUCUUGGUUGUCUUAGUCGUGCUGGCAUGUUUGAGGAAGCUGCAAGGCUGAUGAAAGAGAUGCGUGCCAAUGGUUUUGAAUAUGAUCUUAUUACAUACUCAUCAAUACUUGAAGCAGUUGGUCAUAUUAACGGGGAUGGUACAUAUCAAACUUCCUAAAAGAGCAUUGAAUAUGAAGCUGCUUUUUUCGGUCUUUUCUGGUGCUCAAUGCACAGGGAGUUUGCCAUGUCAUUCUUGAGAUGGACUCUCCCCUAUUUGUGAACAUGCUAACUGGAGUUUCAUCACCUUCCUGGGAGCUUGAGGAGGAUAUUUUGAAGAUGAGAAAAAUCAUACAGCAGCACCAGAUCACAGUACAACAUUGCUACAGGGAAGGGAAUAUUGUUGCUGAUGCCAUGGCUAAAUUUGGAGGGGAGUAGCCGCCUAUCUUAAUAGCUGAGAUCUUCCUAACCAUAGAGGGCUUGCUACUGGAAGUAAAGGGUGCUCUUGGGGCUCGACAAAACUCAGAUGCCCAGCUUUAGAGUCAACACCAGGCAGCUUUGUAAUUGUCCAGACUUGGUCGACCAGAUCGGGGAAAAUGGAACAUAUGGCAGGACUGUUGAUAGGAGGAUUAUUAACUGGAUAAUGAGCUGAGCCAACUCUUUAUCCUACACUAACCAAUAUAGGAUGAAGCUUUGUUUGAAGAUGACUUGCUCGGGGAUAUGUUGUCCUACUAUAUCCGGAUAUCCCGCUGUCUGGCUGCCCUAGUUGUUGGCUCAUCUGGUCUAAAAUUCUCUCAUCAAUUUGCUAACUGCAAAAGCUGUGCAUUAUGCAGUGCAUAUCAGUCCCUUGAAGCCAUGCAGCACUUAGGCAUUGCAAUCCUGAAAUUCAUAUAUAUCUAGGGGACAGCAACCAGUUAAAAGCCAAAGUUAUUCCUAGUGUUUAGAACUAUUGCUGCAGGAGGAAGAAGCUGAGCUUAUCCGUCUUGAGGUUCAACUGUUAAUACAGAUAAUGUCGCGUGGCAGGGCUUAACGUAUAAUGAGCUGACCAGUUGCCAUAAAUCUCUUGGACAUAGGCUUUGUCAACGAGAGUUAUCAUAUGUUGUGUGGGUAUCACCACGGAAUGCUUAAAUGUAAAAAUUUUGGGAACCUCUUAAAUUAUGUUUACAAUGGAAGUCAGUCUUGAUAGAAAUGCGAGAGAAUACUGAAGGCAAUAUUUUGAUCCUGAAAAAGUGAAAAUACAUGUAAUUCAGGUUAGGUAUGCUGAAUGCUGAGGGGACUUUUGAAUGGAACAAUUGUAUAUAAAACCUCUUACUUGGGAUA